rnacentral:misc_RNA from 1 species
ACAAAAGGGAAAAAGGCGUGGCGGGCGCAAGCUCGUUUCACGUUCUGCUCCCGAAAUCCUGUAUUCACCCCAAGUUCCUUUAAAAUUUCAAUAAAAAAACUCUGCAAAAAGACCACGUUUUUAAAGUGGCAUCUAAUUGCACAAAGCGA